ACAAGCGGUGGAGUAUGUGGUUUAAUUCGACGCAACGCGAAGAACCUUACCAGCGUUUGACAUGGGAAGUGCCGGUUACAGAAUGGUAACCUUCAGUUCGGCUGGCUUCCACACAGGUGCUGCAUGGCUGUCGUCAGCUCGUGUCGUGAGAUGUUGGGUUAAGUCCCGCAACGAGCGCAACCCACGUCUUUAGUUGCCAGCAUUUAGUUGGGCACUCUAGAGAGACUGCCGGUGAUAAACCGGAGGAAGGUG
rnacentral:rRNA from 1 species